rnacentral:rRNA from 1 species
AGCGAACGCUGGCGGCAGGCCUAACACAUGCAAGUCGAACGAAGUCUUCGGACUUAGUGGCGGACGGGUGAGUAACACGUGGGAACGUGCCUUUAGGUUCGGAAUAACUCAGGGAAACUUGUGCUAAUACCGAAUGUGCCCUUCGGGGGAAAGUUUUAUCGCCUUUAGAGCGGCCCGCGUCUGAUUAGCUAGUUGGUGAGGUAAAGGCUCACCAAGGCUACGACCAGUAGCUGGUCUGAGAGGAUGACCAGCCACAUUGGGACUGAGACACGGCCCAAACUCCUACGGGAGGCAGCAGUGGGGAAUCUUGCGCAAUGGGCGAAAGCCUGACGCAGCCAUGCCGCGUGGAUGAUGAAGGUCUUAGGAUCGUAAAAUCCUUUCACCGGUGAAGAUAAUGACUGUAGCCGGAGAAGAAGCCCCGGCUAACUUCGUGCCAGCAGCCGCCGUAAAAC